UUAUCGGCCGCCGAUGGGGAUGCGUUCCAUUAGCUUGUUGGCGGGGUAACGGCCCACCAAGGCGACGAUGGAUAGGGGUUCUGAGAGGAAGGCCCCCCACAUUGGGACUGAGACACGGCCCAAACUCCUACGGGAGGCAGCAGUGAGGAAUAUUGGUCAAUGGGCGCGAGCCUGAACCAGCCAAGUAGCGUGGAGGAUGACUGCCCUACGGGUUGUAAACUCCUUUUGCAGGGGGAUAAAGUGUGCCACGUGUGGCAUAUUGCAGGUACCCUGCGAAUAAGCAUCGGCUAACUCCGUGCCAGCAGCCGCGGUAAUACGGAGGAUGCGAGCGUUAUCCGGAUUUAUUGGGUUUAAAGGGAGCGCAGACGGCCCCUUAAGUCAGCUGUGAAAGUUUGCGGCUCAACCGUAAAAUUGCAGUUGAAACUGUGGGGCUUGAGUACGGUCGCGGCAUGCGGAAUUCGUGGUGUAGCGGUGAAAUGCAUAGAUAUCACGAAGAACCCCGAUUGCGAAGGCAGCAUGCCAGCCCGCCACUGACGUUGAGGCUCGAAGGUGCGGGUAUCAAACAGGAUUAGAUACCCUGGUAGUCCGCACGGUAAACGAUGGACACCCGCUGUCGGCGAUAUACAGUCGGCGGCCAAGCGAAAGCGUUAAGUGUCCCACCUGGGGAGUACGCCGGCAACGGUGAAACUCAAAGGAAUUGACGGGGGCCCGCACAAGCGGAGGAACAUGUGGUUUAAUUCGAUGAUACGCGAGGAACCUUACCCGGGCUUGAACUGCGCCUGAAUGUGCCGGAAACGGUACAGCCGCAAGGCAGGCGUGGAGGUGCUGCAUGGUUGUCGUCAGCUCGUGCCGUGAGGUGUCGGCUUAAGUGCCAUAACGAGCGCAACCCCUUCCGGCAGUUGCCAUCAGGUGAUGCUGGGUACUCUGCCGGUACUGC
rnacentral:rRNA from 1 species